CUUUUCUCAAGUGAAGCAUUCUGCGCUGAGACAUCUCUACGAGGAGCUCUGAUCUCCUGCAGGGGAAGGAGGCAGGUGAGGUGGAAACAGAACAUCUCAUGUGGUGCUGCAGGAAAUCAGGGCACACCUAAGCCCAGAGAAGGGUGGGGAAAGCAUGAGAGAGCACACAGCUUGACAGCACGUCACUGACCAGAGGCCAGCAAUUUACUUCCAUGUUUUGAUGCUAUUUAUAGCAAUGGAGUUGUCAGAGUCCAUCUAAACUGCGAUGGAGGAACUGGUCCACAUCUGCUCGCUACCAGGGAAGCUGAAUGCAGCCGCAGGGCAGCAGUGAGGGCAGGGCUGUCUGCCCCACCUCCAGCCUCCCAUCGCGACUGCACAGCUGCAGGUGGGUGGUGGAACUCAAAUACCCAUUCACUUCUUCUUCCUGUUCAGCAGAUUCGGUGCAGACACUUUCACUUUACCAGGAAUAUUUCUCGAUAAGUCGGUAUCCUACAAAACAUCAGAGAGGAUAAAAAAUGCAUUUCCAAGCACCUUCCUCCCCAGAUGGUGUUUGUGAGUCAGCCGACAUGAACCACUGUGCCUGCUGCUGCUCACUCUCCCCCCAGACAGUGGGAGCAGAAACGGCCUCCCAAAACCAGGGGGCUUUAUGCAGAUGAUGCUUUUGUCAGACAUGAUUCUGAUCAACAGAGGCACAAAACAGAAACCUACAGCCCAGUGAUGCUGGCGAGGCUCACGUUCUAUGAACUCCUCCCACCUGAAGCAGUAAAUCUCCCCCAGCAGUACAGAGGAGCACAGCUGACCUUUCCAAGAAGGCCAAUGGCAUCCUGGCUUGUAUCAGGAAUGGUGUGGUGAGCAGCACUGGGGAAGUCAUCCUGCCCUGUACUCAGCACUGGUGAGGCCUCACCUCGAGUACUGUGUUCAGUUUUAGGCAUCUCAGUACAGAAAGGACACUGAGGUGCUGGAGCAGGUCCAGAGAAGGGCAACAAGGCUGGGGAAGGGCUUGGAGAAUAUGGCCUAUGAGGAGAGACUGAAGGAAUUGGGGCUGUUUAGUCUGGGGAAAAGGAGGCUGAGGGGAGACCUUAUUGCUCUCUUCCAGUACCUGCAAGGUGCUCACAGCAGGGCAGGGUUGGUCCCUUCUCACUGGUGACAGGUGACAGGACGAGGGGAAAUGGCCUCAAGUUGUGCCAGGGGAAGUACUGUUUGUAUAUCGGGAAACACUUCUUUACAGAAGGGGUUGUUAAGCACUGGAAUGGGCUGCCCAGGGAGUUGGUGAGUCACCAUCCCUGGAUGUGUUUAACGACCCUUUGGAUGUGGUGCUCAGGGCCGUGAUGGAGCAGAGGGCUGUUAGUUAGGGCAGGAUGGUUGGGUUGAGGUUGGACUCGAUGGUCUUUAAGGUCUUUUCCAACCUGAGCAAUUCUAUGAUUCUAUGAUCGUAACACACUCGUUCUGUGAAGGAUUUACCCCCACCAUGGCACCAGUGGACCAUUUCCCCACUCACCUUAACGCUGCGGAACAGGUCUUUUUCUCUUGCAGUAGCUUCUUUGGAUUGCAUGAAGUUAUGCAAGGCAAUCUUUGCAGCUUUUCCUUUCUUUUGGGUGCCUGGAGUGAGCUUGACUUUGUACUUGUAGUUCGUCAUGGCUGUGUAGGGAGCGCAGAUGGGCACAGCAAAGAGCAGGAUGUCCUCAGCGUGUGGCUGGCCUGUCAGGGAGUCCAGCAGGGCUGUGCCAUCCUCCACUCCCGGCUGAUCCUGGUCUUGCUCAUCCUUCUCAUCCUGCUGCUCCUCCGGGGCCAGGUCCUCUGACUCAUGCAGAACAACGACUCCUGGCAUCAUCUCCUUGCCCCCUCCAGCACUGCGAUGCACAGCCUUGGAUUUCUGCUGUUGUUUCUUUGCCUGCUCUUCUUUCGUCUUCCCCUUUUUCCCUUUUUUCCCUUUCUCCUCUUUGUUUGACCCUGCAGACCCCAGCAGCUUCAUGAUGAGCUCCCGGUCCUCCUCAUCCUGGUCCUUGUACUUCUCCUUCAUCUUCUUCAUUUUACUCUUCUGUCCCCGUUUGAUGGGCUGAGGGGCUGGCACGCCCUUAUUGGUGUUGGGAGGGGGGGGACGCUGCGUCUCCGUGUCCUUCUGCCUCUCCUCGGGUGGAUCCAAGUUCUCAGAGUCACUUUGCUGCUUCUUUUUCUUCAUUUCUCUCCUCUCCUUGGCAGACAGAUGCCUUCGCCCCUGGGACUUGCUGUCACUCAAGUUGGGUUCCUC
rnacentral:lncRNA from 1 species